UUGUCAAAGCAGAAACACUGCUUUGCACUUUAUUUUUGCACAGCGGCGCUCCCACUGGGAGGAACCACCGCAGCUCGCCCGGGAGUGGAGGGACCGCAGCACACAGCGGGCGGUGCGGGAGUAGAUAUCAAUCGCACCCGACCUCAGACGGAACCAUCUUUUUAUACCAAGAUCGGCUUUCCUGCUCAUGUGUUUUUAUCCCAGUUAUGAUUUUUUUAACAUAGCAGUUAAUAUGGCGCAUUUUAGAUUUGGUUUAAGAAUCAGCAAAUCUGUUGGUGGAAGGAAUACAUAUAUUGGAAAUGAGAAACAACAGCAGCCCAAGCACUGGGCCUUGUGGAACACCACAAUUCUAUUUAUAUUAAAAUGAUCGAAGUUGCUUGCUUCUGCCAGAGUAAAAUAUCGUGUUGUAUCUUGGUUGAGUUAAAAACUAUAUCUACUCAAUACAGUUCACAGAUCCGAACAAUUUGAUGCAUCAACCUUCACCAAUCACUAUUUGGCUCCAGUCAUCUUUGCAUCAACAAUAAGCAUCUUCUCUCUCCCUUAUAGAAUAGUCUCCCCACAGAAAGAUGCUGCCAUCACUAUGUUUCACCAUUGUGAUUGUGCACGUAGAGUUACGCACAAAUCCAGUACAUGUAGGUCAUAAAAUAAAAAUCUGGUCUCUGGCUGGAGAAGUGUUUUCCACA